UCUAAGUUUGGCCAGAUUAAGAAUAAUCAUUGUGGGAGGAGAGCAUGUGAAAAGUCCCCUUCCUUCACGUAACCGCAAGGGUCCAGCAAUGUGGUGGGCACAGGUGAGGGGUGAGUUAUUUACCUGAGGGAUACAUCCCCCUAGCACUGCCUAUGUAGGGCAUUGCAUCCUCCUCAUAAAUGUUUCAUUUGAUUUAAGCUAUCUCCCUCUGAAACAUGAAUACAGAACAUCCUGAAUGUUUGUGAUCUUGUGUGGAAACUGCUAUUACUGACAGAAUGCAGGAAUGCCUUUGCAGAGGCACGUGAUUUUGGCAACAUUCUUGUCCACGUCAGCCUAAGUCACAACGUCCCCCAAAAAUUUCAUUUAUGCAAUCUGCUUCUACCUCCCAGCCCUCUCUUGGCAAGCUUUGGGGCUCCAUUUGGCUUAAAAGCUGGCUUUGCCUGGCUUUGUCACCACAAUUCAUCCUGAGCCAUGAAGAUCCUUCACCUGUGCUUGGCAGUUCUCUCUUUGCUGCUCCUGGCUUCCCCAGGAUCUGCACAGGACCAGGAACCUCAGAAUGCUAGGCAAUGCUAUAAGGCCAAUGGUGUUUGCCUCCCUCUAUAUUGUCCCAAUAAUUCUAAAAAGAUUGGAAGGUGUACUCAUCGUCAUUUCUGUUGCAAAUGACGGGAGGAGUGAUAGAUGCCUUUGAAAAGUGGAAGAUGCUCCCUCUCUUUGAGAGCCACUGGAUCCCGCUUGAUCCCUAGCUAGGGACUUCUUCUCCAAAGCAUCCAGAUUGAAAAAGCAACAUUUUCAAGGCUUACCUGAGCUUGUGCCUUGCAAUAAAAGCAGAUCCAAAAGCCUUUCCCCCUCUG